UAGCUCAGCUGGGAGAGCGCCUGCCUUGCACGCAGGAGGUCGGCAGUUCGAUCCUGCC
rnacentral:tRNA from 1 species